rfam:Erinaceus europaeus unplaced genomic scaffold scaffold00321, whole genome shotgun sequence
UGUCCCCACUGCUGCUCCAGUCCCACUGGCCUGGCCCAAAGCUCAGGAAAAUGAAGCCGCUCCAUAAAAACUUUUGAUAUUAGUUUUUAUGGGUAUUUACACUCUGAUCAGGGGAACUGAGUAUGGAAGCAUGGUUAAUCAGCCCCCAACCUCAACUGUGGAUGCUCAGUUUAU